UGUGCAUAAUUGACCACUCGUGUUCAUAAUUGACAGGUGUUUUUUAAUUAAGAGCUAUUAUGGUCAAAAAUUUUAUAAUUAAGUAUCUGUAGAAUAUUUUAAAAUGUUUUAAGAUAUUCAAACAGUAAAAAUAAUUUUUUUUUUUUUAAAGUACAAAGACAGAGCGAUGGAGACAGAAUUGGGACAAAAUUUUACCACCUCAAAGCCCACAAAGUAGGCCCCCCACUUGCGAUUCGCAAUAUCACUUCGGCCAACCAAUGAGGCUACGCACAAGAUUAUACCACUUGAUUAGAUAUGCUAAACAAGUCGCUGAUCCCUAGAGAGGGCUCCAAGGUCCUCCAUUUCUGGGCGUGUCCAUUGUCAGGCGAGCAUGUCCGGCCAUGAUCCCAUUGUUAGAAGCCGAAGGCCUCAAGCGAACCGAGUCCUUGGGCUUCGGAGAGGGUGGGUGCAACAAAUUUUAGUACGUUGCCCUUGUCUCCUCGUCUGCAACAACAAUUUUCCAUCUGGUUCCUGUACACAAUCAGACGAAGAAGAAAAGGAUGCAAAGCUGGAGUACAUCAGAGAUAGCGCGAUAGACGGCUCUCAGUCGAUGAUCGCCGGGGGGAAUGGCUGGCGGCGACGAUAGAGGUAUUCAAAUCAUUUCAGAGGCGGCUUUCUUCUGUGAUGAGGGGCGAUCGACGGCGAAUGGUGGUCAGAGCAACGUUGCUUUUGUUGGUUGAGGGUAGUUGGAGUGGGAUAUCUACUUAGGUUUCAUUUUGUGUUGUCUAGUUAAGGGCUACUUGUUUUGGGCCAUUAGGGCCCUUGUUUUGUUCUAUAUAUGUUUCGUGGCCCAGUUGUUUGGUUUUUGAUAUCUAUUUAAUCCGUUUUUAUUAUGUAUUAUGUCAGCCAUUAAUAUGGCCUUGUUUUUCCAAUUUGAGAUAAAUCUUCGUGC